CUACAUAUGAGAGGUCCCGCCUGCCCUGUGACUAAUGUUUAACGGCCGCGGUAUCUUGACCGUGCAAAGGUAGCGCAAUCACUUGUCUUUUAAAUGAAGACCUGUAUGAAUGGCUAAACGAGGGCUUAACUGUCUCCUUCUCUAGGUCAAUGAAAUUGAUCUCCCCGUGCAGAAGCGGGGAUACCGACAUAAGACGAGAAGACCCUAUGGAGCUUUAGACACAAUGGCAGAUCAUGUUAAAAACCCUCUACCAAGAGAUAAAACCCAUUGAAACCUGCCCUGAUGUCUUUGGUUGGGGCGACCGCGGGGAACCACGAAACCCCCGAGUGGAGCAAGAGUACUACACUCUCAAACCCAAGAGCCACAGCUCUAAGCAACAGAAUUUCUGACCUUACAGAUCCGGCACAGCCGAUUAACGGACAGAGUUACCCUAGGGAUAACAGCGCAAUCCCCUUUUAGAGCCCAUAUCGACAAGGGGGUUUACGAMCUCGAUGUUGGAUCAGGACAUCCUAAUGGUGCAGCCGCUAUUAAGGUUCGUUUGKUCAACGAUUAAAGUCCUACGUGAUCUG
rnacentral:rRNA from 1 species